UUUUGACUUUCUGUCCUACCUUAUCUGCAUGCAUUCCAUUCACCCCACCGCUUUCUUCUCUCCUUCUUUAUCUUCUUUUUUCUGGAUGUGUCCGCCGCCGCUUACCGCUCAUGGUGAUCGAGGUGGUUUCCAGAUGACUCCGGUCAAAUCAUCUACCGCCAUAAGCAUCUAUAAAAUCCUCUCCUUUCUCUUCUUCGUGGCCAUCUCAUCUCAACAGAAGUACCAUUGAGGAGUAGCGUCGGCGCAAAACAUCGAGCCGCUCUCGGUUUCUCUCCUAUAGGAUGAAAAGGAGCUCCGUUUGCCGCCUCGCAGAGCAUGCCCCGCCCUUCUAGGCUCCUCCUUUCUUCGACGUGCAGCAUGGAGCAAGCUCGGCCACGGCGAGCUGCGGAGCCGCGCUUCAAGGUUCGGCAUGGUUUCCGGUGGGCUCUACCCACGCUGCACCUCCGAGCCUUGCCGGGGAGGAGCUGCGUCCAGCCUCCGUCGCUGCUACCCUGUCGAGCGAGAAACUGCAUCAUCAUCGCUAUGAUAUGGUGGUUGUCGACGGCCACCGCGGGGACGGCGUGGUGUUGAACGCCCCCCUUGGCACGCUGGCGAGGUGAUUCCAAUCUCGCGCAUCGGAGGCGUUGGUGGCCAAUGGCGACGUCUCGCAGACGUCGCUGGACGCGAUCGCCGAUCUAGAGUCGUCGACGGUGCGCGAGACCGGCCACCUGCUUGGGCUCGGCCACUUCUCGGUGGAGGACGACCUGGACGCCAUCACGUCGCGCAGGCAGAACUGGAGCUGGCCAACAACGACGACGUCAAGAAGCGCGGGAAUAGAAAGUUCUGGUGCUUGCAUCUGCCCAUGGAGGAGGUGCAUGGAGGAAGAUGAAGGUGGACUGGAGGAGGCGGGUGUGCGCGCGGGGUACGGGACGGCGGCAAGAGUGCACAUGAGGUGCGCCCGACUGUGAACAACCCAAGCUUCAAGGACGUCUCACCAGCGACGAGCAAGGAGGAGAGACCCACAACGGCGUCGCUGCCGUGCGCUCCCUGACGUCGACCGGCUUGGUUGGCAUAGCUGCGGCGGCUACGAUCGCACUAGCUAGCGUUGUCCUGAUAGGUUUUCAAUAGACUGACGGCCGCUUCUUCAAAAGAAAGAGCGUUCUUAGUAGCCUGUGAUUUUUCGACUGAUGAUUAUGCUCGGGUUCAGAGAUAUUUUUAUGAAUCACAGGAGUAGGAGUAAGGUGUGCAGGUAAGUGGAGCGGCUUCUCUGUUGCUUUAAAAACAUUCAGUUUUAUGUUAGGGCUUACUUUUUUAUUAAGCGUCUCUGCAAAUGGUGAUCGACCAAGUUGUUACUAUGUUGGAUCUGUUAA